rnacentral:rRNA from 1 species
CUACCCUUGACAUGUCCUGGAGCCUGGUGAAAGCCGGGUGUGCCCGAAAGGGAACGGGAACACAGGUGCUGCAUGGCUGUCGUCAGCUCGUGUCGUGAGAUGUUGGGUUAAGUCCCGCAACGAGCGCAACCCUUGUCAUUAGUUGCUACAUUCAGUUGGGCACUCUAAUGAGACUGCCGGUGACAAACCGGAGGAAGGUGGGGAUGACGUCAAGUCCUCAUGGCCCUUAUGGGUAGGGCUUCACACGNUAAUACAAUGGCGCGUACAGAGGGCCUGCUAAGCCGCGAGGUAGAGCCAAUCCCUUAAAGCGCGUCGUAGUCCGGAAUUGCAGUCUGCAACUCGACUGCAUGAAGUCGGAAUCGCUAGUAAUCGCGGAUCAGCAUGUCGCGGUGAAUACGUUCCC